rnacentral:lncRNA from 1 species
ACCAUAAGUCACGGUGUGGUUGGUUUAGGACAUCACGGGGUGACCACCAUCAGGCGUUGGAGGCGGGGACGGAGGAGGUAGGGAUCGUGGAAAUGAACCCGGCGGAUCAAAUGGUGUCGCCUAAGCGUUUGUGCUCAAGAACGACCGCUGCAGGUUGGGUGAAUGCCUUGGAAGCACAGCCGACGCCUGUACAAGCACCGGCGGCCAACAAGCUGCUGUCGGACCUAACCGGACUUCAGCUGACCGCGGGUGAAAAUCGUACGACACCUCAUUUCAGCUGGCGCUGAGUUGACCUGAAUAUCGCAGAAUAUCCGUUGCUGCAUGAGAUGCCCAAAAAUCGUUCCGUGUUUGGAAGGGGAUUGGAUGACUUGGCGGGACCGAGGGCGAGGACUUGUGCGAUUUAUGUUGGCCUGACCAGUUCAGACGUUGGUCGGAUGAUGCUGCAACUGCGGAUACUCGUGGUAUCGAUGACCGCUUCAGCAUUUCGGUUCUCAUCAGCUUGCGUAGGCGUAGAAAACAGAUACUACGACAAGGAGCGCUCCAAAAGCUUCGCUACGCGACAAGCAUCCUCAAAUUUUGGCCCACACGCACACUUCCGAUUCGUCCUCAACGCACGAAGCGUCAGACGAAAAAAGGCCAAUAUCAUGAUCAAAGCUCCGACGGCCGCCAUGACAGAACAACCCAGUUCGGCACCAGCAAUGUUCCUACCGCCAACCUGGGCACCAACUCACAACCCUUCAAAACACCCACGCCGAGAAAAUCCUCGCGACGCACGACGCGAUAACGACCGCAGACGAUCUGUUCGAAACGUGUCUCUGUGCACCGUCAGUCGGCAGCUCCGACGAUUUUAAACCCCCAAGCGCGGAUGAGCCUACUGAUGUUACGCCGUGGAAGGAGACUUUGAGGCGGCGUUUGGGACGCCGCAUGUUUGCCAGCUUUCGGUGGAUAUGAGCGGAUAUGCUGACUUUGCCGACUAUGCGGAAUUGGAACAGCUGCGGUGGCCUUUAGAAGGAUUUGUUCUGUGGGUUGAGUCCGAGAAGCGAUCCGCCUGCGAAUCGGUUAGGAAGGAUGUCACAGCCGACCUUUGCGUAAGCGCUGCGUGGCUACGACUUGCUGCCGGACCUGAGUGAACUUUCGCUGGGCAGUACCAACGCUAGCGCCGAGUUGACCCGGAUUACGCAGGAUCUUCGUAAGUUGCGGCAGUGACGCACAGAAUUCAUUUCGGGGAGGAGUUGGACGUGAUUGAAAGGGGAUUGGACGGCUUGGCGGGACCGAGGACUCCGGAGCAGCUUUUUCGGGUUGGUCAACAAAGGCACCCUCGAAACGAAUAACUAAGUUAUGGGAUACGUCCUUAAGCAGGACUGCUACUGCGUGAACCCGUCGUGGAAGUCCCGCACAGAACAUGAAACUAUAUCAGUGGCCUGGAGAAUUCCAAAUUCGAGCUGCAGAGACUGGUUCCAGUACAUCUGGAAAAGUUCUUCGUCCUGUAGGUUCUACCAAGCGAUUUCGCUUCUAGAUGAUAUGCCGUUAUGUUAUAUAUAUUAAAUAAAUUUAUUAA